AUCUCAGUGUUUCUGCUCAUUCUGUAAUCAUACUCAUCGUAUUUAAUGUUGUGCUCUUCAGUCGUCACUCAUGAAGCGUCUGUCGGAGGAUCAGCGUCCAUCAGCUGUAAACACAUCAGGAAUACAAAAUCAGAGUUGUUUCUGCAGAGGAGAUCAGCCCGAUAUCUGCAUCAGAGACGGUAGUUCGUUUUCAUCAAAUAAGAGAAUAAACAGCAGAUUCUCUCUGACUGAAGAAACCUCUGCUGGAGUCUUUACUGUGAACAUCAGCGAUCUGACAGUAGAGGAUUCUGGGAAAUACUGGUGUGCAGAGGAGAAUUCUGGGUCCUUCGUAUUCACUGAAGUUCAGCUACAUGUGACCAGAGAAAUGUUGACAUCUGACACCAAAAGAGAAACAUCCCAGAAUAAAGACAAGCCUGGUGAGUCUGCUUCUCAGCUGGAGUUGGACGUGAUAUUUACAGUAGAUCAAUAUGAGCAUCAGAUGUACAACAUGUGCAACUUGUAAGAAUUAUUUGUGUGUGUGUGUGUGUGUGUGUGUGUGUGUGUGUGUGUGUGUGUGUAUGUGUGCCUACUUAAUUUUGGAGGUAAAUCAACUAAAUCUGACAAAAAUAUAAUUUUGGGGGAUGUCUAUAUUUGUAAAAAGCAAAGUAAAUAUAUAACAAUGAAGUAAAUAAAGUUUGUUUUUGUUUGUUUUUUGUAAAAUGCAUAAAGUUUUCUUUUAGGGCAAGGUGUGGGUUAGGGUUAGGUAUUUAUAACCAACUCUGUAUAAAAUCAAUAGAUGUCUAUUGAAUAUCUCAAUUUAGAUAGCUAAGUAAACGUGUGUGUGUGUGUGUGUGUGUGUGUGUGUGUGUGUGUGUGUGUGUGUGUGUGUGUGUGUGUUGUAAUGCUUGUGUUCCAGACAGGCAAUCAUGUGUAUUUGCACACCAGACAGUAAGAAUACACCUAGCAACCACAUAGCAACACUCAAGCAACCACUCAGAACACAUAGCAACCCACUGCAACUCAUUCAUCCUUUGAAAUAGUUUCUUGAAACUCAAAUUCAACUGUCAUGUUAAUAAAAACCAAAAACGCAUGAUUUGAAGUCAGGGUUGGGCAGAGUAACUGCAGGAUCCAAUGAGUUCACGCAUAAAUUAGAAAUGCUCAUGAAUAAUGCAGCUGUUGACACAAGGGCCGGACUGUUACAGGCUUCCACACGGAAGCGUCAGAGAACCCAGAGUGAAACCCUUCCGCUUGCCCAUCAAAUAUUCAUCAUCAUCCCAAAAUGCCACUCCCAAACCACAGAGAGCUCAACUUUAGGAAACCAUGUAGAGUAUAUUCUGGUGCUUAAAAACAAACAGAAGCUAAUACACUGAUAUGAGGAGUGUAUAAUAUUCCACUAUAGUCUUAUGAAUAAUACUAUCUUAAGACAAAGCACUACAGGCAAAACAUUUUUCAUCCACACUGGUCAAUUUUGAAAUUUGGGGCUAUUUGGCUAUUUAUAACAUAUUUUUUUCAGGCUAGUGGAAAGAAUGCAUCCAAAAUACACAUUUAAGGGUUUAUUUUAUUGUACUUUCUAUUUUCUUAUCUAUUUGCGUCUGUAGAUUUAUAUUAUAAUAACGUACAUUUAAAGAGAUUUAUCUCCACUUCAGCAGCACUUACAUACACCAAAUUUUAGGGUGUUAUUCCUAUCUAUAUUCUGAAGAUUUUUACUGAGGGGUUUGUUUAAAUAUCAUUCACUUGAAUUUAUUUCUGCACUUUCUCUAUUUGUAGAUUUCAGUUAAAACAUAUAUCUUUAAAGGCUGUUUUCACAAAAUGAGUUUUUUCUCCACUUCAGCAGCACUUACAUACACCACAAUUUAGAGUUUUAUUACUAUAUAUAUUCUGAAGGUUUUUACUGAGGGGUUUGUUCAUAUAUCAUUCACCUGGUUUUAUACAAUAUUUAAUUAAUAAAAACAUGGUACUUUUUUUCUGGCUGUCGACAGUAUUUUUUAAUUUAAGGGGUUAUAAAAAGAGAUAUCCAAAAUCCCCUCUAUACAUUUUUUUAGCUCUAAUAUGUCAACAAAAUGAAGCUAGAAUUUUGAACCUGAAUUCAUCCAAUGUUCAUAUUUAUUUUCUGUAAAUUAGUGUAUAUUUAAUUAGUUAAUGCCUCAUUUGCAUCUUUAAAUCUAACAUCAGAAAACUUUUAAUACAAAAAUGUUUGGAACUCAAUGUAAUCAAUCUACUGGAAAAUGGUGAUGUCUAUUAGGUAAAUUUAGGUAAAUUUUUUAGACUAUUCACUUGGGGUGUCUUGCAUUAAGCGUAUAUCUAUACAGAUGGAUUAUAUCAGUGAAAUGCACAAAAAUACCACAGUAAAUGAGAAAGCAUGCUCUUUAAAUGGAGCUGCUUUUGUAUGUAUUUAGGACACAACAGACAUCUUUAAAUCCCCUGAAGAAAAUAAUUCUAGAAAAGAAAGAUAUGUGUAUGAUAAAGCAGUGCUCCUGUAUAUGUGUGUUUAUCAGGAAUCAUUCAGUGUCUCUGUUGUCAUCUGACGGCUACAGUAGAGUAAACACACACACACACUGAGGCUGGACAUCUGCCAUUACAUUCAACACUUUCUCUCUCAUACACACACCAUGCUGAAAGAUCUGCACCGCUGAAUGCUUGAAUGUUUCACAUGUCCUUGGGUGCUUGUGUUUAGUAGUGACAGGUCAGGGUCAGACAUUAACCAUGACUGCUAAGCUGGAUAUUUAAAAUGUUGAGGCAGAAGUGAUUUCCUCUGUUCUUGUAAUCUGUUAUCUAAUAUUUGAUAUAUUCACUUCUAUUCCAGCCCUGUCUGGUGAUGGGUUUAGUGACCUGUAACUUGCUAUUUCUGAGGUGAGUGUUGUUGAAAGUG
rnacentral:lncRNA from 1 species